AUUGAACGCUGGCGGCAGGCCUAACACAUGCAAGUCGAGCGGAGCGGCGGACGGGUGAGUAAUGCCUUGGAAUCUGUCUGGUAGUGGGGGAUCACGUCCGGAAACGGGCGCUAAUACCGCAUAAUAUCAGCUGAGCCUAGGUCGGAUUAGCUAGGAGGUGGGGUAAGGGCCUACCAAGGCGACGAUCCGUUACUGGUCUGAGAGGAUGUUCAGUCACACUGGAACGGAGACACGAUCCAGACUCAUACGGUAGGCAGCAGUGGGGAAUGUUGGACUGUGGGCGAAAGCCUGAUCCAGCCAUGCCGCGUGUGUGAAGAAGGUCUGCGGAUUUGAGAGCACUUUAAGUUGGAAGGCGUUACCAAAAGAAUAAGCACCGGCUAACUUCGUGCCAGCAGCCGCGGUAAUUC
rnacentral:rRNA from 1 species